rnacentral:rRNA from 1 species
GUAGGUGGCAAGCGUUGUCCGGAAUUAUUGGGCGUAAAGCGCGCGCAGGCGGUCCUUUAAGUCUGAUGUGAAAGCCCACGGCUCAACCGUGGAGGGUCAUUGGAAACUGGGGGACUUGAGUUCAGAAGAGGAAAGCGGAAUUCCAAGUGUAGCGGUGAAAUGCGUAGAGAUUUGGAGGAACACCAGUGGCGAAGGCGGCUUUCUGGUCUGUAACUGACGCUGAGGCGCGAAAGCGUGGGGAGCAAACAGGAUUAGAUACCCUGGUAGUCCACGCCGUAAACGAUGAGUGCUAAGUGUUAGGGGGUUUCCCGCCCCCCUUAGUGCUGCAGCUAACGCAUUAAGCACUCCGCCUGGGGAGUACGGCCGCAAGGCUG